rnacentral:rRNA from 1 species
AUUGAACGCUGGCGGCAGGCUUAACACAUGCAAGUCGAGCGGACGAGGUUGCUUCGGUAAUUGAGCUAGCGGCGGACGGGUGAGUAAAGCUUAGGAAUCUGCCUAUUAGUGGGGGACAACAUUCCGAAAGGGAUGCUAAUACCGCAUACAUCCUACGGGAGAAAGCAGGGGAUCACUUGUGACCUUGCGCUAAUAGAUGAGCCUAAGUCGGAUUAGCUAGUUGGUGGGGUAAAGGCCUACCAAGGCGACGAUCUGUAGCGGGUCUGAGAGGAUGAGCCGCCACACUGGGGCUGAGACACGGCCCAGACUCCUGCGGGAGGCAGCAGUGGGGAAUAUUGGACAAUGGGGGGAACCCUGAUCCAGCCAUGCCGCGUGUGUGAAGAAGGCCUUUUGGUUGUAAAGCACUUUAAGUGGGGAGGAGGCUUACCUGGUUAAUACCUGGGCUAAGUGGACGUUACCCACAGAAUAAGCACCGGCUAACUCUGUGCCAGCCGCCGCCGUAACAC